rnacentral:rRNA from 1 species
UAUGCUUCUCCUAAAGACUAAGCCAUGCAUGCCUUCGAAUACGAGGAAGCAAUUCUCUCUGAAUCUGCGAACGGCUCCGCAAACCAGUUGUAAACUAUAGCAAGCUAGCUUGGGUUCGCCUUCGGGUGGGCUCAGGCAAUAAGGAUAACCCUGGUAAUUCUGAGGCUAAUACAAGAGCUUACAUCCCUGGUCGACCGGCUUGUCUGGAAGGCUGGGGUACGUGCGAUUGUGGCUUGGUUUUUCCAGGAAAGGGCGCACGUUCAGACCACCCAUAAAGGAAGGUCCUCACGGGCUGACUGGUGGCUCUUGCUGUGUGCUUCUGACCUAUCAACUAGACGGCAGCGUAAGGGACAUGCUAUGGUGACAACGGGUACAGAGGAUUAGGGUUCGAUCCUGGAGAGUGGGCCUGAGAGAUUGCUCAUACUUCUAAGGAAGGCAGCAGGCGCGCAACGUUCCCCUUGGGCAAUGCCCGAGGGCGUUAGGGGACAUAUGAAUGCCUGCCCAUCGGGUGGGCAAUUCAAAUGGGUCUGUUCUAAACAGGCUCUCGAGUAACAAUUAGAGGA